rnacentral:rRNA from 1 species
CAGCAGCCGCGGGAAAACGAAGGGUGCAAGCGUUAAUCGGAAUUACUGGUCGUAAAGCGUACGCAGGCGGUUUGUUAAGUCAGAUGUGAAAUCCCCGAGCUUAACUCGGGAACUGCAUUUGAAACUGGCAGGCUAGAGUCUCGUAGAGGGGGGUAGAAUUCCAGGUGUAGCGGUGAAAUGCGUAGAGAUCUGAAGGAAUACCGGUGGCGAAGGCGGCCCCCUGGACGAAGACUGACGCUCAGGUACGAAAGCGCGGGGAGCAAACAGGAUUAGAUACCCCUGUAGUCCCUGUCUCUAUACA